GUGAAAGCAAUCCAGAAACAAAGUCUUUAAUAUAAUAGUGCCAAGGUAGCUCAGGUAAUGAAAUCCAAAUAGGGACUAUAGGAGUUUCUUCAGCCGGUUUAAAAUUAGGAGUCCACACUUGAAUUCUCAUUACCUGCCCUGCUAUAUCAUCCUUUGCUUAGUCCAAACCAUAUUAUAAUCCAGCUCAUUAUCAAGAUCAUUGUAUACAUGUCUAGAAUUAAAAUGGGCAAUUUUAACUCCCCC
rnacentral:lncRNA from 1 species